rnacentral:misc_RNA from 1 species
GCACUAUUUUUUAGUGCACCGGGUAUACUCUAUAAUUUACCUUAAAACAUUAUUGCUAUGACAGACAGUUGCUAGAAUUAAACUGCUCAAGACUCCAAAAUCCAUCCAAACCAUAGAUUUUAUGAUUCAUGCUCAAAAUUGUCCAUCAAGUCUACUGUUAAUGGAGUCCACAUGAACUUUAAUGGAUCCAUCAGCAAGUCAACUUAGGUAAGUUAUUUGGGGUAUGGGUUCAAUGCUACAACAACAUUGAUACAACAGGAGAUGCAAGACAUACUUUCACAUUGACAAAAUGCUGCAUUAUGCAAUUUGAAACUCUGAUUCUUUUUCAAUUUUAAGAUGCAAUUUAAGAACCCGUAGACACCUUAAAGUUCAUCAUGGUAAUCGUCAUCGUAGUGGGGAUCAUACUGCAGAAAAACAAAAAAUGAUGUUACAUUAUUUGAGUAAUAAAAAUGUCACAAUGAUCAAGAUCAUACAAUUACAUAUAUCAAAUGUUCUUUCGUGUCUUGCUCUCCUUGAACCAUGCAUAAAACAAUAUACUUGGAGGAAGUUACUAGCCUUCUGAUAAAAGAGCAUAGAAGUUGGUUUUGGCCAACUUAACAAGGAUGGAACUUAGGCUCCAUGAAUGCCCACCGAGAGGAACUUCUGGUUCAAGCUACAGCAUUGAGGAACCAGGUGUAAUAUGGUUCCGGCACAUACAUGGCACUAGUGUCAUCUGACAAUGUUGGCUCAUUUGGCAAAGUAAGCCAUGCAUGCAAAAGGCGCAUGUGGAGGCACAAUAUGGCGCGUGAACCAUAAAGGCUUUGAAAGCUGUGAAUGUAAACUAUGGGCAGUAAAGCCAUGGUUCCAAGAGGAUAAUUUACACGAAUACACAAGCAGAAAUUAGGGGGCAAAGGUGCUGUGUGUGUGCUUCAAAUGGGUGCUCAUUGAUGUGCAUUGUUCAAGCAAAGCCCUCCUCUCUCUUUCAUGGUUUGUAUCCUUGGAGCAAACAUUUAUUUUCUGCAACACUUGGUACACUUAGGCUGCAGACUAACAUAUAUGAUUCAUUUUACAAUGUUUAGCUAUGCUAUACUAGUGAUACAAGUUCUUGGAGUAUGUGUUAAAAUGGAUCUAGAACAUAAAAUAAGGGAUGUUCUUACAAAAUUUCAAGCUGCAAACCAAAAAGAUGCACAAUUUAGUUUGACUAGAAGAAAGCACAAGAUACAAUACCCUUUUAUGACGUCUCCUCUCUCCAUAUCGAUGCCCCCUUUCUUUCCUCCUCCUCUCCCCUUCUUCUCUUGCUCUUUGAGAUUCCUCUUCUUCUCGAGCUCUCCUUAUUUUCUCUGCUUCCUCAAAGGCUUCUUUUUCAACCUCCCUAUUCUUGGCCCAGAUAUCUUCCACAACUUGUCUUGCAUAUUGUGGGUCAUCACAAAUCAAUAUGUUAUCAAAAAUUGAACCAGCCUUCACCUGCCAUACUUCAAUACCCACGUAUUUUAAGGGCUUCAGCACAUAAAGGUCAGGAUCAUCUUCAAACUCUGGGUUGUCAAUCCAUGAAGUCUUCUUCCACUUCCCCUUAUAGUUGGGGUUCCUGAUUUUCUUUCUUUUCCAUGGUCCUUUGUAUGCUGGAUUUGGGAUCUUGGGUGGCUUCCAUAUCCCAUCCUCCUCUUCAUCCCAGUCAUCAGGCUAUUCAAACCAGCAACACAAAACGUGACAUUAUAAUCCAUUUCACUCUCAUGACAGUUAAAUCAGUUUUUUUUUUUUUUUGAAACAUGA